rnacentral:rRNA from 1 species
GAUGAACGCUGGCGGCGUGCCUAAUACAUGCAAGUCGAGCGAACGGACGAGAAGCUUGCUUUUCUGAUGUUAGCGGCGGACGGGUGAGUAACACGUGGAUAACCUACCUAUAAGACUGGGAUAACUUCGGGAAACCGGAGCUAAUACCGGAUAAUAUUUUGAACCGCAUGGUUCAUAAGUGAAAGACGGUCUUGCUGUCACUUAUAGAUGGAUCCGCGCUGCAUUAGCUAGUUGGUAAGGUAACGGCUUACCAAGGCAACGAUGCAUAGCCGACCUGAGAGGGUGAUCGGCCACACUGGAACUGAGACACGGUCCAGACUCCUACGGGAGGCAGCAGUAGGGAAUCUUCCGCAAUGGGCGAAAGCCUGACGGAGCAACGCCGCGUGAGUGAUGAAGGUCUUCGGAUCGUAAAACUCUGUUAUUAGGGAAGAACAUAUGUGUAAGUAACUGUGCACAUCUUGACGGUACCUAAUCAGAAAGCCACGGCUAACUACGCG